rnacentral:snRNA from 1 species
AGCUUUGCGCAGUGGCAGUAUCGUAGCCAAUGAGGUUUAUCCGAGGUGCGAUUAUUGCUAAUUGAAAGUUGCUCCAUAUGUAGACUUUGACUCGACCUUCCUGAAGCUUCCUCGGACUAGUGGAUUUUUUCAAACUACCCUAUUUCCUCAGAAUACAAAAGAUUGCCACCACAAUCUUUUGUGGUA